AGGAGGACUUGGAGUCACGGGAGGUACACAAGCUCCUCUGUCUGAAGGUGACGGUGCUGCAGGCAGUGUGAUAGAGGGGUCUGGGAGUUCAGCAGGAGAUGGAGGUACUGGUUUAUCUGGCAGACCUACGGGUGCAGGAGGUGAUGGAGAUGGCCUGAGUGGAACAGGAAUCCCCAUCAUUG